rnacentral:rRNA from 1 species
GGGUGCGAUCAUACAGCACUAAUGCACCAGAUCCCAUCGGAACUCUGAAGUUAAGCGCGCUUGGGCGAGAAUAAUACUAAGACAGGCUUUGUCACAAGACUUUCAUAGACAUAGGCG